rnacentral:rRNA from 1 species
AACGAACGCUGGCGGCAUGCCUAACACAUGCAAGUCGAACGAGACCUUCGGGCCUAGUGGCGCACGGGUGCGUAACGCGUGGGAACCUGCCCUUAGGUUCGGAAUAACUCCCCGAAAGGGGUGCUAAUACCGGAUAAUCUCUUCGGACCAAAGAUCUAUCGCCUCGGGAUGGGCCCGCGUUGGAUUAGCUAGUUGGUAGGGUAAAAGCCUGCCAAGGCGACGAUCCAUAGCUGGUCUGAGAGGAUGAUCAGCCACACUGGGACUGAGACCCGGCCCAGACUCCUACGGGAGGCAGCAGUGGGGAAUAUUGGACAAUGGGCGAAAGCCUGAUCCAGCAAUGCCGCGUGAGUGAUGAAGGCCUUAGGGUUGUAAAGCUCUUUUACCCGGGAUGAUAAUGACAGUACCGGGAGAAUAAGCUCCGGCUAACUCCGUG